CGGAGGAAAAGAAACUAACAAGGAUUCCCUCAGUAGCGGCGAGCGAAGCGGGAAGAGCCCAAAAUGAAAAGCCAGCUUGCUGGCGUUGUAGUUGAGCGUCUUUGGGGUGUCAGUUCGGGAAAGUGGCAUGGAAAUGUGCGCCGAGGAGGGUGAUAGCCCCGUCCAUCCCGUUCAGGACACUUCGCACUAAGGCGUUUCAGACGAGUCGGGUAGCUUGGGAAUGCUGCUCUAAUUGGUGGUAAAUCUCAUCAAAGGCUAAAUAACGGUGGGAGACCGAUAGCGAACAAGUACCGUGAGGGAAAGAUGAAAAGCACUUUGAAAAGAGGGUAAAAAGAACCUGAAACCGUUACGGGGGAAGCGGAUUGCGUUGGCCUGGUGGCUACUUGUGUGUUCAGCCUUUAUGGUGCAUUGAUGCAGGUGGUUAUCUGUCGUGGCUUUUUAGCGGCUGAUAUUGAGUUGCUGAAGGGUGAGGGCUCCCCUUUUUUUAGGGUGAGGACGAUGGAGUGAUGACGCGAUACGACCCGUCUUGAAACACGGACCAAGGAGUCUAGCGCGGGUGCGAGUCAAAGGGUGCAAAAACCCGUGGGCGAAGUGAAAGCGAGUUUUUUUUACAAAACGAGCAGUUUGGGGCGGCAUGGAAUCGUUGAUUCCAGGUCUGACCUUGAGCAGUUGCGCUGGGACCCGAAAGAUGGUGAACUAUGCCGGAGUAGGGCGAAGCCAGAAGAAAUUCUGGUGGAGGCUCGUAGCGGUGCUGACGUGCAAAUCGCUCGUCGAACUUGGGUAUAGGGGCGAAAGACUAAUCGAACCAUCUAGUAGCUGGUUUCCUCCGAAGUUUCUCUCAGGAUAGCAGGCCGACAUACGUUGUUUUGUGCGGUAAAGCGAAUGAUUAGCGCAUUCGGGGGCGUUUAGCCUUCGGGCGAUUCUCAAACUUUAAAUGCGCAAGGGUACCGGUGCUUUGUUGAGCGGUACCGGUAAAAACGUCGGCCUUGUGGGCCACUUUUGGUAAGCAGAACUGGCGAUACGGGAUGAACCGUAAGCAUGGUUAAGGUGCCAAACUGCCCGCUUAUAGAUCCCACAAAAGGUGUUGAUUCAUCGAGACAGCAGGACGGUGGCCAUGGAAGUCGGAAUCCGCCAAGGAGUGUGUAACAACUCACCUGCCGAAUGAAUUAGCCCUGAAAAUGGAUGGCGCUUAAGCGGGCGACCGACACCAUGCCGUCUGUAAAAGAAAUCAGAUGAGUAGGAGGACGUGGCGGCCGUGUCGAAGCAUGCGUGCAGACGCGUGUGGAACAGCCGCUAGUGCAGAUCUUGGUGGUAGUAGCAAAUAUUCAAGCGAGAUCCUUGAAGGGCGAAGCGGGGAAGGGUUCCACGCAAACAUUGAUUGGGCGUGGGUGAGUCGUUCCUAAGCCGAGUGGCAAUUGCUAAGUAGCGGCGAAAGGGAAGCAGGUUGACAUUCCUGCACACGGAUGUGGAGGCGGUGACGCUUUAAUGAGGGCGAACACGCCGGCGAUGGCGCUGGGCAGAGUUUUCUUUUCUGUUUGACCGCUGAAGCACGCGGUGUGGAAUCCGCUUGUCGGGAGAAACACGCGUGCUCGGGCAGAGCGCCGGGCCUAUUCCGGCGUCCAGCUCGCCAUCGACGGCCCUUGAAACUUUGCCUGCUGGAAUUUUUUUUAUUAAGAUCCACGCCGUGGCGUACCGAUCACCGCAUCAGGUCCCCAAGGUGAACAGCCUCUGCUCGAUAUGAACAAUGCAGGUAAGGGAAGUCGGCAAAUUGGACCCGUAACUUUGGGAAAAGGGUUGGCUCUAGUGCUGCGUGGGAGUGGUUGUCGGGUGUUGGCGUUUUUGGAUUUGCUGAACGAGCGCGAUGAGCCCUUUCGGGGGUUUUUUUAUUGUGUUUAAUUGGCGAGUCUGGAUCCGCCACGCUCGACGACGCCCACAGCAUGCAGCAGACUAGAACUGCAACGGGCAAAGGGAAUCCGACUGUUUAAUUAAAACAAAGCAUUGCGAGGGCCGUGGCCGGUGAUGACGCAAU
rnacentral:rRNA from 1 species